rnacentral:rRNA from 1 species
GGUUAAGCGACUAAGCGUACACGGUGGAUGCCCUGGCAGUCAGAGGCGAUGAAGGACGUGCUAAUCUGCGAAAAGCGUCGGUAAGGUGAUAUGAACCGUUAUAACCGGCGAUGUCCGAAUGGGGAAACCCAGUGCAAUUCGUUGCACUAUCGUUAACUGAAUACAUAGGUUAACGAGGCGAACCGGGGGAACUGAAACAUCUAAGUACCCCGAGGAAAAGAAAUCAACCGAGAUUCCCCCAGUAGCGGCGAGCGAACGGGGAGCAGCCCAGAGUCUGAAUCAGCUUGUGUGUUAGUGGAACGGUCUGGAAAGUCCGACGGUACAGGGUGAUAGUCCCGUACACCAAAAUGCACAGGCUGUGAACUCGAAGAGUAGGGCGGGACACGUGGUAUCCUGUCUGAAUAUGGGGGGACCAUCCUCCAAGGCUAAAUACUCCUGACUGACCGAUAGUGAACCAGUACCGUGAGGGAAAGGCGAAAAGAACCCCGGCGAGGGGAGUGAAAAAGAACCUGAAACCGUGUACGUACAAGCAGUGGGAGCACCUUCGGGUGUGACUGCGUACCUUUUGUAUAAUGGGUCAGCGACUUAUAUUCUGUAGCAAGGUUAACCGUAUAGGGGAGCCGCAGGGAAACCGAGUCUUAACUGGGCGUUAAGUUGCAGGGUAUAGACCCGAAACCCGGUGAUCUAGCCAUGGGCAGGUUGAAGGUUGGGUAACACUAACUGGAGGACCGAACCGACUAAUGUUGAAAAAUUAGCGGAUGACUUGUGGCUGGGGGUGAAAGGCCAAUCAAACCGGGAGAUAGCUGGUUCUCCCCGAAAGCUAUUUAGGUAGCGCCUCGUGAACUCAUCUUCGGGGGUAGAGCACUGUUUCGGCUAGGGGGUCAUCCCGACUUACCAACCCGAUGCAAACUACGAAUACCGAAGAAUGUUAUCACGGGAGACACACGGCGGGUGCUAACGUCCGUCGUGAAGAGGGAAACAACCCAGACCGCCAGCUAAGGUCCCAAAGUCAUGGUUAAGUGGGAAACGAUGUGGGAAGGCACAGACAGCCAGGAUGUUGGCUUAGAAGCAGCCAUCAUUUAAAGAAAGCGUAAUAGCUCACUGGUCGAGUCGGCCUGCGCGGAAGAUGUAACGGGGCUAAACCAUGCACCGAAGCUGCGGCAGCGACACUAUGUGUUGUUGGGUAGGGGAGCGUUCUGUAAGCCUGCGAAGGUGGCCUGUGAGGGUUGCUGGAGGUAUCAGAAGUGCGAAUGCUGACAUAAGUAACGAUAAAGCGGGUGAAAAGCCCGCUCGCCGGAAGACCAAGGGUUCCUGUCCAACGUUAAUCGGGGCAGGGUGAGUCGACCCCUAAGGCGAGGCCGAAAGGCGUAGUCGAUGGGAAACAGGUUAAUAUUCCUGUACUUGGUGUUACUGCGAAGGGGGGACGGAGAAGGCUAUGUUAGCCGGGCGACGGUUGUCCCGGUUUAAGCAUGUAGGCUGGUUAUCCAGGCAAAUCCGGAUAAUCAAGGCUGAGGUGUGAUGACGAGGCACUACGGUGCUGAAGUAACAAAUGCCCUGCUUCCAGGAAAAGCCUCUAAGCAUCAGGUAACAUCAAAUCGUACCCCAAACCGACACAGGUGGUCAGGUAGAGAAUACCAAGGCGCUUGAGAGAACUCGGGUGAAGGAACUAGGCAAAAUGGUGCCGUAACUUCGGGAGAAGGCACGCUGGUGUGUAGGUGAAGUCCCUGCGGAUGGAGCUGAGACCAGUCGAAGAUACCAGCUGGCUGCAACUGUUUAUUAAAAACACAGCACUGUGCAAACACGAAAGUGGACGUAUACGGUGUGACGCCUGCCCGGUGCCGGAAGGUUAAUUGAUGGGGUUAUCCGUAAGGAGAAGCUCUUGAUCGAAGCCCCGGUAAACGGCGGCCGUAACUAUAACGGUCCUAAGGUAGCGAAAUUCCUUGUCGGGUAAGUUCCGACCUGCACGAAUGGCGUAAUGAUGGCCAGGCUGUCUCCACCCGAGACUCAGUGAAAUUGAACUCGCUGUGAAGAUGCAGUGUACCCGCGGCAAGACGGAAAGACCCCGUGAACCUUUACUAUAGCUUGACACUGAACAUUGAGCCUUGAUGUGUAGGAUAGGUGGGAGGCUUUGAAGCGUGGACGCCAGUCUGCGUGGAGCCAACCUUGAAAUACCACCCUUUAAUGUUUGAUGUUCUAACGUUGGCCCCUUAUCGGGGUUGCGGACAGUGUCUGGUGGGUAGUUUGACUGGGGCGGUCUCCUCCCAAAGCGUAACGGAGGAGCACGAAGGUUAGCUAAUCCUGGUCGGACAUCAGGAGGUUAGUGCAAUGGCAUAAGCUAGCUUGACUGCGAGCGUGACGGCGCGAGCAGGUGCGAAAGCAGGUCAUAGUGAUCCGGUGGUUCUGAAUGGAAGGGCCAUCGCUCAACGGAUAAAAGGUACUCCGGGGAUAACAGGCUGAUACCGCCCAAGAGUUCAUAUCGACGGCGGUGUUUGGCACCUCGAUGUCGGCUCAUCACAUCCUGGGGCUGAAGUAGGUCCCAAGGGUAUGGCUGUUCGCCAUUUAAAGUGGUACGCGAGCUGGGUUUAGAACGUCGUGAGACAGUUCGGUCCCUAUCUGCCGUGGGCGCUGGAGAAUUGAGGGGGGCUGCUCCUAGUACGAGAGGACCGGAGUGGACGCAUCACUGGUGUUCGGGUUGUCAUGCCAAUGGCACUGCCCGGUAGCUAAAUGCGGAAGAGAUAAGUGCUGAAAGCAUCUAAGCACGAAACUUGCCCCGAGAUGAGUUCUCCCUGAGACUUUAAGUCUCCUGAAGGAACGUUAAAGACGAUGACGUUGAUAGGCCGGGUGUGUAAGCGCAGCGAUGCGUUGAGCUAACCGGUACUAAUGAACCGUGAGGCUUAACCUU